GUCAGAUUGUGCGCUUUGAGUAGGAUAUACGGCCUGGAAAAUGCGCGUUAUAAAUAUUCUCAUUAUUAUCAUUAAGCGUACAUAGAUGUACAAACCACUAAACAGUGUUAAAGUUAUCACUUCCACAAACACGUGAACUUUGGGUGCCUUUCAGUCAUUCUACAAAUAUUGUGUCAGAGUGGCGACAACCAGAGGAUCAGAUAUUGACGUAAAAGUCAGAAAUAUUGUCUUCUUGGAUGUUCCAAGGUCUUCCAACGGGUAUGUUACCAGCAAACCUGUAUACGUCCCUACUGCCAAGAAUUCACUCAACCAAACAAACUAUUGUAGACAUAGCAGGUCUUCGGUGAGUGAAGAACAGUGUAUAUAUGUCACAUAUGUCGAUCCGUUCAAUAACUAUUCGCUGUUUGUCGUCACUGCAGUAGUCAUGUGUUCGGGACAUGUGUCAGCUGGUCAUUCUAAACACAGACCAGGUGUCAUUCUUGGCGUGGAUAUAUUUUAGUUCACAUUUUCCAUGACCAUUUCGAAACGUUGGUUCUAUAUUUGAGCAAAUGUAUUGGUAUAAAAUAUUUGAACUGUUGUCUAGACGUCAGUUCUGAGACUACUGCCAGGUUGACAACAUCCUUACUACGUCUACGACUGUGACACCGACAUCAGCACACCUACCUGAAAAUGUCACUUCACGAUCUCAACAAAAAUUGGAAAACUGGGUAAAAAAACAUGGCGGCUUUUCCGAAGAUGACUUGAAAAAGGGUCUGGUUCGGUUUGAAAUCGACACAAAAAAACUCCGAGUGAUCACUACAGACAAACCACCUGACCCAAAAGAUGAAGGAGGACAAAGACAAGAAAGAAGAAUCUGACAAAGACAA